rnacentral:lncRNA from 1 species
ACUCAAAUGCAAAACAAGUUACUUUCAUCAAAAUAAAUAGAUUUUGAGAAUACAUGCUAAUAGCAAGCAAGGAACCAUGCAAAAUUCAGCCAAUUAUUAAUGGGACAAAAUGCAAAACAAUUAUUUAUGAGAACCACUUACCAAAAUAUGAAAACAUGCUUAAUAAACUCACUACCUUUAAAUAGAUACAAAGUUUGGUAUCAUAUGGUAUCAGGUAUCAUAUGCUACAUUGCUACUAGAUACAAAGUUUGGGUUUUCUUUUGUUUCUAUUCAAUUUUCAAUAUUCCAUCUUAAAAUUUGAGAACAAAAUUCAAUUGUUGCAAUUAUUAAACACACACUUUAUAUACAUUUAUUAUGCAUUUUGACGAAAAUAAUCAAUAAAUAGAGCACUUAGCACUAUUUUGGUUAUUAUUAAUCCUAUUUUAC